AACUUACCCUGGGCCGCACUAGGGAUGCAAAGAUUCAAACAAGGGUCCUUACUCUUGAGGAAGAAGUGAAGUGGGGAAGACAGAAGUAACUACAGAUCUGCCUUCCCCACUUGAAUUCUCGAUAACUUUCAAGAGCCAGGUGAGAAGAGGGCAGUGCUAUAGGAAGAGUGACCACUGGAGAUAUGCCAGAGCGCUAUGGCGAAUGCCACCAAGUCCAUGGGUCUGGCAAUGAUGGGAAAAUGAAGAUGGAUUUCUUGGAGCCCAGCUAACGGGAUAGCCUGUUUUGGAGGAAGCAAGCUGCCAUGUUGUGAGGACACACAAACAGCCCUAUAUUGAGGUCCAUCUGGCAAGAAACUGGGGGCUCCUGCUAACAGCCAACACUGCUUGCCAGUCAUAUGAGUGAGCUGUCUUGGAAGUGAAUUCUUCAGAUGCCGUGACCCUGGCCAACUUCUUGACUGACUCCUUUUGACAGACCCUUGGACAGACCACAUCCAUCCAGCUAAGUCAUUCUUGAAUUCCUAAGUUUUGAGCUAGUUUGUUGCACAGCAAUAGAUAACUAACACAUCUGUUGAAUA